rnacentral:tRNA from 1 species
ACUACUUUGGCAGACUAGUGCAGUAGAUUUAGAAUCUAAAAAUAUAAUUGAAAGUUAUAAGUAGUA